rnacentral:rRNA from 1 species
AAGCUCGUAGUUGAAUUUCGGGAUCAAUUUAUUGGUCGUGCUAUUGUACGUACUGGUAUUAUUGAUUCCUACCUUCUGACGAACCAUGAUGUCAUUAAUUUGGUGUNNNGGGGAAUCAGGACUGUUACUUUGAAAAAAUUAGAGUGUUUAAAGCAGGCUCACGCUUGAAUACAUUAGCAUGGAAUAACGAAAUAGGACGUUUGAUUCUAUUUUGUUGGUUUCUAGGAUCGACGUAAUGAUUAAUAGGGAUAGUUGGGGGCAUUAGUAUUCAAUUGUCAGAGGUGAAAUUCUUGGAUUUAUUGAAGACUAACUACUGCGAAAGCAUUUGCCAAGGAUGUUUUCAUUAAUCAAGAACGAAAGUUAGGGGAUCGAAGACGAUCAGAUACCGUCGUAGUCUUAACCAUAAACUAUGCCGACUAGGGAUCGGAUGAUGUUAAUUUUUUAAUGACUCAUUCGGCACC